GGCGGCAUGCUUAACACAUGCAAGUCGCACGGUUGGGGGUAACCUCGGCAGUGGCGGACGGGUGAGUAACGCGUAGGUAUUUAUCUUCGGGUGGGGGACAACCACGGGAAACUGUGGCUAAUACCGCAUGACGACUGAGGUCUAAAGGCGCAAGUCGCCUGAGGAGGAGCCUGCGUACGAUUAGCUAGUUGGUGGGGUAAAGGCCUACCAAGGCUUCGAUCGUUAGCUGGUCUGAGAGGAUGAUCAGCCACACUGGGACUGAGACACGGCCCAGACUCCUACGGGAGGCAGCAGUGGGGAAUAUUGGACAAUGGGCGCAAGCCUGAUCCAGCAAUGCCGCGUGUGUGAAGAAGGUCUUCGGAUUGUAAAGCACUUUCGACGGGGACGAUGAUGACGGUACCCGUAGAAGAAGCCCCGGCUAACUUCGUGCCAGCAGCCGCGGUAAUACGAAGGGGGCUAGCGUUGCUCGGAAUGACUGGGCGUAAAGGGCGCGUA
rnacentral:rRNA from 1 species